rnacentral:rRNA from 1 species
UACGUAGGGUGCAAGCGUUGCCCGGAAUUAUUGGGCGUAAAGAGCUCGUAGGCGGUCUGUCGCGUCUGCUGUGAAAACGCGGGGCUCAACCCCGCGCCUGCAGUGGGUACGGGCAGACUAGAGUGCGGUAGGGGAGACUGGAAUUCCUGGUGUAGCGGUGGAAUGCGCAGAUAUCAGGAGGAACACCGGUGGCGAAGGCGGGUCUCUGGGCCGUUACUGACGCUGAGGAGCGAAAGCAUGGGGAGCGAACAGG